CUUCAGUGAUGAUACGAUGACGAGACAGAGCAGGACUUUAUCCGGGUCUGUGAGUUCUGCUUCGGGUCUGCGUUCUGUGGACCCGCUGCCGUUCCUCAGAUCAGGAAGUCCUUUAAACAGGAAGACAAGAGGCAUUUGUCUGAGAAGG
ensembl:snoRNA SNORD15 Small nucleolar RNA SNORD15